rnacentral:miRNA from 10 species
AGUCAGCCUGUUCUUUGAAGCUUUUGAAACCAGGCAUUGACUUCUUUCUAGCUAGGAAAGUCCUAGAUAGCAUCGUAUUGCAAUGGAAGGUUGUUUCAUCUACAUUG